UACGUAGGUGGCAAGCGUUGUCCGGAUUUAUUGGGUUUAAAGGGUGCGUAGGCGGUUCAUUAAGUCAGUGGUGAAAUACGGCAGCUUAACUGUCGAGGUGCCAAUGAUACUGGUGAACUUGAGUACUGAUGAGGUAGGCGGAAUGGACGGUGUAGCGGUGAAAUGCUUAGAGAUCGUCCAGAACACCGAUAGCGAAGGCAGCUUACUAAGGAGUAACUGACGCUGAGGCACGAAAGUGUGGGGAUCAAACAGG
rnacentral:rRNA from 1 species